UGACUAUACAUGCAGUCGAGCGGACCAAAGAAGAGCUUGCUCUUCGGCGGUUAGCGGCGGACGGGUGAGUAACACGUAGGCAACCUGCCUGUACGACUGGGAUAACUCCGGGAAACCGGAGCUAAUACCGGAUACGUUUUUCAGACCGCAUGGUCUGAAAGAGAAAGACCUUUGGUCACGUACAGAUGGGCCUGCGGCGCAUUAGCUAGUUGGUGGGGUAACGGCCUACCAAGGCGACGAUGCGUAGCCGACCUGAGAGGGUGAUCGGCCACACUGGGACUGAGACACGGCCCAGACUCCUACGGGAGGCAGCAGUAGGGAAUCUUCCGCAAUGGACGAAAGUCUGACGGAGCAACGCCGCGUGAACGAUGAAGGUUUUCGGAUCGUAAAGUUCUGUUGUUAGGGAAGAACCGCCGGGAUGACCUCCCGGUCUGACGGUACCUAACGAGAAAGCCCCGGCUAACUACGUGCCAGCAGCCGCGGUAAUACGUAGGGGGCAAGCGUUGUCCGGAAUUAUUGGGCGUAAAGCGCGCGCAGGCGGCUUCUUAAGUCAGGUGUGAAAGCCCACGGCUCAACCGUGGAGGGCCACUUGAAACUGGGAGGCUUGAGUGCAGGAGAGGAGAGCGGAAUUCCACGUGUAGCGGUGAAAUGCGUAGAGAUGUGGAGGAACACCCGUGGCGAAGGCGGCUCUCUGGCCUGUAACUGACGCUGAGGCGCGAAAGCGUGGGGAGCGGAACAGGAUUAGAUGCCCUGGUAGUCCACGCCCGUAAACGUUGAGUGCUAGGUGUUUGGGGAC
rnacentral:rRNA from 1 species